CUCGCCGCCUGGUUUAUCCGUCCCCCUCUCCUCCGGUCAUCGGCAUUUGUUGGCAGAUCAGGCAACUGCCAUCAAGACCAGACAUUUAUGGACUUCACCAGGAAAGCAUAUGAAGCCCAAGCAAGUACUAAAAGGUUUCGGCAUGGGUACCACGCUACUUAAUGGUGUUUCUCCACGCAUUGUUUUGGUGCACCGACUCAAGCCAUAGCUCCUUCCUGCUGGUGCGAUGGCCACUUUGCGCUCCACAGAUGCGUU